ACCAUGCUGCCUUCCCAGCACCAAGCUGCAUUGUACAUCCAAUACAAUAUGUAUACAGAGAGCACAUUGUGAGUUUCCUUUCUCCAUCCCAUCCUGAGUGUGAACCAAUAACACGUACCCCACAAGGGUUAAGGAUGAAGUCAUGUGACAAUAAAAAAAUAUCUCUAUACUUUUUUAUUUGUACAGAUUGUCUUAGAUCUAAUUUUGCUGAUGGUUGCCACAAUUUAUCUUGCAAUGUCGGCUCAGCAAGAUCUGCAGCAUCAAAUCAAUAUUGAGAAAUUGAUUACAAUCGAAGUGUGUAAAAUAUCCAUGAUGAGACAAGUGCAGCGACUAACCCCAAAGAAUUGGAAAUACAAGUCUAUUGGUGUGAUGUUGGUGGGCAUAGUGGACAUUGUUGGUCCACAUCUCUCUCCCACCACUGUGAGUAUAAAAUUGUUUAACUUAUUUACAACUUUACAAUAAUCUUGUUAAAACUUUGCAACUUUACAAUAAUCUUGUUAAAACUUUACUUGUAUAGAACCUAUCCCACCCGGCUAUGUCCAUUAAUUCAUAUGGUUAUAAUUAAUCCACUUCCAUUAUGUUUUCAAGGACCACAACCCAAACUAUGUAAGGACACCUUGUAGUACUGUACUUGACAGUCACGUACAAGAUUAUCCGUUUUCAAAGGGUUCAUAAAUGCAUCUCUCCUUUAGUAAAGAUAUAAAACUGCACUGAUUUAACUGAUCAACUUGAGCUGAAGUAUAAGAACUACCACCACCACGAAUAAACCCGAAAGGAUUUUUUAAUAAACUUUUUAUUUCACAACUCUCCGUCCUGAUAUUUUUUGGAUGUUUUUGUAGCUUCAGCUCAGCCAAUAAGGAGCAUUUUUUUAUAUAAUCUCUGAAAGACAUUCACCAUACAGACAAAGCCAACUCUCGUAACUUGACAUUUAUUAUACUUGGGGAUCUUUGUACAGUAUAAGACUUGGCACAUUCGUGAGGACCCACUUGCUCCUUUUGGUUAAGACUUGGUACACUUCCUUUUGUUAAGAUCUUGGUAUAGUCUGUAAACAGCAGUUUUCUGACAUAUAUAUUUUGAGCUCCGAAUGAGAUUGGUAUUUUUAAAGUUUGAGAUUGACUAAAAGUUAUUAUAUGCAGUAUUGUCUUAACCUUUCAUUCACAUUUCACUGUUGUAUUAGUCUGAUGUAAGAACAUGUUGAAUCCUUCUUGUAGACGAUCUUUGGCAAUUUAACUCUCCUGGUGGCUAAAUUCCAUAGAAAAUAUAUCACUCAAGUCAUAUACACAGCGUGUAGACAGUCUCUCCCUCAAGUUUAAACAAUGUCCGUAUUCCCAAGAAAAGUUUGGUAGUUUGAUCAAAUAAAAAUGCGGUCGUGACAUUUUACAUUUAAUCAUUCACUUGAGCUUCUUGGCUAUUAAAAUGUUACUUACAAGUGAUAAGUGCUAGUAAAUAUAACUUUAGUUUUCAGGAAGUUAAAACAAAAAUUAUGUUUACUAAAACAUUUUUUUUAAUUUUUUGUACUCCUUACAAUAACAGGUAGUUGUUCUGCCUUGCACCUACCAUAAUAUACAAUGUUAUGUACAAUACAUCUCGUGGUCACCCCAGGAGGAUGUACCCUAAAAAAGGGUACUUUAAUUAUUAACAACUGCUAUCAUACUGCAUCAAACCUAUAUAUAUUGCUUCACUGAACACAAGAUUUGACAAAAGAAAAAUAUCACAAACACUUAAAGUCAUUGGAUUCCAACAGGUGAUCAAAAAAUUUGUCAAAUCAGAUUUGGUAGAGCGUUUGUUAUUAUUAAUGAAGGUCAGAGGACUACUGACCAAUGUUUAAUACUAAAAUAGAGUGAAAGGUAGUGUAGUGCAUUAAGACACAACUGCAACUAAACAACUUAAAGGGAAUGAAACAUAGGAAAGUAUCUCAGGGUGAUUUAACAUUAGGCAAAACAGAAUAAAUAAUGGUAAAAGCAGGAAUUAAAUAAAUAGAGAAGAGGCUAAUGUAAAUAAUCUUUGUGUAUUCACCACAAACACACAUCCAAUUCAUCCCUGCCAUUCCA